GUCAGGUGUGGAGCUCCUAUCAGGUCUUCCACUUAAUAAAGCCAGUUUACCCUACUGAGAGAGUCCUCCUUCUUGCCGUCGCCAUGGUUGCCAAGAUCAUCUUGUCCUACGCUGGGUGUGGGGAACCAAGUACCCACGGGGAGGAGGUGGCUAGUGAGACUAGCUGCCCCUAGUCUCGUGACUAGCGUUAGCACGUGAGCCACGGUGAGGAACUCUGAGCUAGCCCGUGGGCCAGCACUUCCAAGUGCAUGCAGGACACCGCGACAGCGUGUGUGGUGCCCAAUGUGGGGGGGCCCCCAGCACGAGGAGAACCCCACGGCACAGACUGGGGCAAAGAAGAAGCCCGAUGAAAGUCCUUGGAUGCCGCGCUACCCCUGGUUGAAGCAGCUCCAUUGCGGAGAGCGCUCCCAGGGGAGAAGAUGACAGCUCCUGACCACCCCAGGAGUCCUCUUCGGGCAACGGAAUCAGUGACCCCAGGUUUCCUUGGCUCCAGGAGAGGGGUUGCGGCUCUCCAAGGGCUUGCACCUGAGUGAUGCUGACUGGACAUUUAUCUCGGUGAAUCCUGAGGAACAGGGUGCCUGGUCUGCAGUCAAAGGUUUGCUUUCUCGGUUCCUACCAUCAACCAAGAGGCCCAGAGGAAACGCUACCAUUGGUGGGUGCUUCUGCAAGGAAUGAAGAACAGCCCUGUCAUCUGUCAAUGGGUUCAAGCUGCAAGAAGACAGAGUUCAACGGAUGCCACCUUGGAGGUACCUUGGGCUGGAGAUUGGCAAGCAGACCAUUGUUCGGCAAAAAUUGGACAUCAAAGUAAAGUCUUUUUCAGUUCAAUAUGGAACCUGUCCAAGUCCGAGCCCCGUCUCUGAGGAACCACCAUCUUAUCCUCGGAGUCUGCCUGCUAAUCAGCCUCUGUGUCCCAACCAGAGGAUGGCUUGUCCCACAGCCCAAGGCCAACGUAUGGGUGACCCUUGCAAGAGCCAUGGGACAGGACCAUAUAUGUCUCUCAGCCACAUCAGCAACGCUUCUGCUGUUGCCAUGCAGAAUAGAGCAGGCUUUCCAUGAUGCCACUGCUCCCCUCAAUCUCCUGCAGGAGCCGAGUCAUCUCCUGAUGAUGAUGAUAUUCUUCACGCUCUUGCAUCUGCUGAACUUCAUCCUUUUUAGUAUCGAGAUUUAGCUCAAGGCCAGUGUGGAUGGCUAACAGGGCCGGGAUGAAGGCCAGUGUUGGAGACAUGGCCUGGUGGGAGAAAGGAGGCUCAGCAUGUCUGGCUGGGAGGGAGCAGAGGGCUGGGGGCACCUGGAAUAUCCUCAGAGCCUCUCUGGGCACCAAGAGCCCCAAGACCGUCUACUCCCAGCCCUGGGGACAGUGCCUGGCCCUGGAGGUCCCAGCUCUCACUCUGGGUUUAAAUGCCCAGAACGUCGUUUCACAGCCCCCAUCCACUCCAGCGUUCCUCCUUGCGUGUGCACUCACUGGCUGCCAGAAUCCAACUGCUCAGUGCUGCCCCUCGACACGGGUGCCAGUGUGAUGUGUCCUCUGUGAUGUCACAGCCAGGAGAACCAUGUCAGUCAGCUGCCAAGCUGGCCGUGCCCCUCCACACAGGUGCCAGUGUGAUGGGUCCUCUGUGAUGUCACAGCCAGGAGAACCAUGUCACUCAGCUGCCAAGCUGGCCGUGCCCCUCCUCACAGCUCCCACUAUGACCCAUGCCCUGGCAUGUCACAGCCCCCAGAAGCACACCUCGCAGCCCACAAGCCUCAGCCUUCGUCCCCGCUGCCAGCCCCAGCGGCUCCUGGGCAUCCUCACCCUGAGUGCAAACCCAGCCGCAGGAGCCUGUGCAGAGGGUGUCCAGCACGUACCAGUCCUGAUCCCUGGACAGCUGGCCACCAGAGGUGUGGAGGAAGCACAUCUGCCCCAGCAGCUACUCCCUGGAGGGAGCACAGGCACAGAGCUUGCUGACUCUCUGAACAGGUCUCCUCGGUAUGAGAGAUCCCUAUUCAGGCGCCACUUACCGCCAGCCUGACAGGCUGCGAUUCUCAGAGACGUCAGUUGAGGGUCCGCAGUGGCCGAUAAGCAAAAAGACGGGCACACUCCUACGCAAUCCGAAACAAAACUGAUUUAAUAGGCAAAAUAACAAGCUGCAGAAAGCCGAGCACCAAAUAUGGGAGUGUACCAAAAGGUAGGCUGCAGGGUGGAUACAGUAAGAUAGGGUUAGGGUGGAGUUUGAGGGACUGGGUCCAGUGGGGGAACACAGUAACAAAUAUUUGUUAACAAUGCAGGAAAAAAACCCCAAUCACUGAACAAAGAACUGAGAACAUUCUAGUCUAAUUGACAUAGGGAAACUCCCAUGGGGCCUUGAGGCUAAGAUUUCUCACACAGCAUGGUUCCCAGGGCUGGGGUAACAGGGGCAUAGUGUGGCAGGUGCCCAGAGAGGCUCUGGGGACAUUCCAGGUGCCCUCAGCCAUAUGUGCUCUGCCAGCUCACACCACUGCCCUCCGGCAAGUCCUGAGCAGCAUCUCUGGCCUGCACUGCACCGUCGAGAUGGCUUUGGCCGUGCAACAGGGCAGUUCAGGUGCCUACCUGAGCCUUGAGCAGGCCAGCAGCUGGCUCUGCCAGCAGCACUGUGUGGGCCAGAGAGCUGUCACCUUUCAGACUCACUGCCAAGAUGCCGCGGCUGCUGAGGUGACAGCAUUGUUACCAGGAAGGAGGAAGGAAGAAGGUGAAGUCAACCAUUCCUCACGGGACAUUUUGUUGCGUUCUGUUUGGAUUCUUUAGCUUUUUUAUUAUGAACUAUGAAAAAUGUAGCCUCAUCAUAGUAAUUCUAAAAUUUCCCAAGGCAGAGCUGGGAAGGUUAACAUAAUUUCAAGUAUGUCUAAGCUUUUGGAUUUGGGUAUACGUUGGGAUUCAAGAAAUCUCUGACUUAAGGCCCUGGGAAAAAAAUCUCUCCAGUUAGGGUGAGAAAAAUUUCACCCUCAAAUCUUCAUGGGAGUUCUUUAUGUAAAUAGGAGUAGAAAGUUCUCUGUUUUCUGUUCUACAGUUCGUUGAUUUUUUGCUGCAGUAACAUAUGUAUUCGUCAUUGUGUUACUCUAUUGGACCCUAUCCCUCAGGCUCCCCCAAACCCUACUUUAUUUAAGUUGUAACCCCUGGCCCUCAUCCCUUUUGGUAUACCCCUGUGUUGUGUUUGGAUUGCUGUUUGUUGUUUUGCUUAUUAAACAGUGUUUUUGUUUCAGGUUGCAUCGAGGUGUGCCCGUCCUUCUUUAUAAUUAACCACUGCGGGUCUUGCCCAACUCUUCAGAGAUCACAGACAGUGCCAGGAUCUGCAAUAAGUAGAGCAAAGAAUUCUAGCAGUCUUUUGAUGUGUGUUUCUCUCAAGAGCGUAAUAAAUGUAGAGAUUUAUUCUCCAUCACAACGCAGCUUCAAGGGUAUAUUACAGGUUUUGGAUUCUCAUAUAUUCUGUUUUCUAAGUAGGAUUCAAAGUGCUGUCAAGGCUGAGGACUUUUUUUGUCACUGGAGAAAUCAGUUUGGGGAGAGUCAAAGGUCACAGAAAAGCUCCAGCUUUUGUCCCUCGCUUACGUUUCAUCUUAAUUCUUAUUUCUCUAACCUUAAAUUUUACUGUGAAAUUCAGCUAUCACAAAGAGAGGGAACAAGCUCCUGAAAAAAAAAAAAAAAAAAAGAUGUUUUGAAACUCAGCUAAUUUAAAAGUACUUGGCUUUGCUACGUUUUCCUUUACGUUACACAUAAUCCCAGCAGGAAUGCAUUUGUUAGGCCUUCUUUUCCAGGCUGCAAUGGAGAUACUCUGAACUCCUGAAUUAGCUGAAAUAGGUACCUGAUAGGGUGUCAAGGCUGCAACAUUUCACAUAGUUUUUUCCUCCCCAGUAGGCAGGGAAGGACCUUGCAGAGGCUCUUCAUGUUAAUGGUGCUAGUGGCGUUCAGGAGGUAAGAAGGGCAAUGGCCCCUGGGCUGUCCCAGCGAUGGUGUGGCAGCAGGAGCAGGGCAGUGACCGUCCCUGUGCUGGCACAGCUGAGGCCGCACUUCAAGUGCUGUGUCCAGUUCUGGGCCCUUCACAACAGGGAAUUGGGCUGGAGCAUGUCCAGAGAAGGGAACGGAGCUGGGCAAGCGUCUGGAGCAGCAGAAUCAGCUGAGGGAGCUGGUCACAGCCUGGUUUCACAGGCCUUUCCGAACCGAAUUCACUCCGUGAGCACGAAUCGCCUCAACCAAGCCGUAUUUCAAAUCCCUGCAAAGAGAGAUCUACACACGCUGCCCGACGGCUUCUUAAGGCUGCUGUCUUGAGGCUGCGAUUGAAAGGCACGACGUAAUUCAGCCCCACAAGCCGCAAAACCGCUCCGUCCCGCCGCCAACGGGGCACUACCGAUUUCCCGCCCCCGCUGCCGGCCUUCUAUGCGUGCGGAGCGAACCAAGCUGAGGGCGCAGGACGGGGGAACGAUCCCCCGCCCCCGCCAGGGGCCAUUGGAUCCGGCCAUGAGAGACGUGGCAUGGCACGGCGGCGGCGCCGCGGAGGAUGCUGGGGGUUGUAGUCCAAGGCGGCGCUGGCCGCGGCCUCCUUUCCUGUAUCCCGGGGACAGGAAAGACCGGGAAGAGACAGCAUAGGACCGGGGGAUCGGGCUCGGUGAGAGCGCGUUUGGCGGCGGCAGGAGGCGUCGCGUUGUGACCCGUCGUACCCGGUGGCGGGGAGGAGCGGUCGGAGGGCUGGGCCGGGCGGUGCCGGCGCCCGGAGCGGUUACGGGAGGUGUAGGGCUCGCUCCUCGUGUUCUGACCCGGCGUGUCCUUGCAGGGCUGCAGCGGCUCCUGCACUUGGAGUGCUGCCAGCGCCGUGCUCCCAGGCGCGCUGUGAGGUGAGGGUCAGGGAGCAGCACUGCAUAGAAUUCCCGGUGCGAUUUAUCCCGGUGCUUCGCUGGGUCGCCGGUGUUGUCCUGCUCCUUCCUCCGGCUGGCUUUCCUCCUGCGGGCCGAGUCCGAGUGCCGGGUUGUUCGGAGCCUCGGGGCACCGAACUCCAGCCCUGCAGCGAGGAAUGGGAGUGCUGGUCCUGGUAAAAUGCCUGCGGUUUUAUCCUCACCCUCGAGAAUCUGUUAAUGCCGGAUGAAAAUGGUGCUUCAGGAGCUUUAUUGCUGUAUUGUAGUGUCUCUGGAGGCAUAAUUUACUCUUUAUGUGAUUUAUUUGGUUUUAUUAACACUUGGAAAAAACCAACAUUGCUUCUUUUGGGACAACACUUCCGAAAGUACUGGAGCUGUUGCAUCAUAUCCUGGUGGGAGAAAUAAGGAUUCUAAAGUGGCAAUCUCAUAAGCUACUAAGUGUCCAGGUUAUUAAUUGACAGCAAUUAGUUGUUUGUAUCCUCUAUUUUGUAUAUUGAUGUUAUCUGUUAUUUGUAAGUUAUUCAUUUAAUGUAUUGAUGUUACCAGUUCUCUGUACCCCAAACCCCAGUUCUGUGUGUUUCCCCAGUCGCUUCCCAGUUCCGGAAAGUCCCUACACCCCUUACCUUAUAAUAAGUUAGGCCCCGCUGCUCUCCAGACAGCCUGAGCCAUCAUUGUCUCGCCACCGAACACAACAUUGACACCGCCCAUCUUACCAUCAGCUCCUCCCCGCCUGCUCGUCAACCCAGAGACCUCGCCCACUCCUCGCCUGCUCCGGGCCCAGCACCGCCCCUUAUGGAAAUCAGGCAGGCAGGCCGGAAGGGCACUGGACACCAACAACCCCCGAGGACGACGAGCCGACCCGAGAUCUGGGAAGACGAAACGCAGUGCUGGGUGAGGAAAGAGCUCAUGUACCCGCUGACGU